rnacentral:rRNA from 1 species
GACAGAGGGAGCUAGCGUUGUUCGGAAUGACUGGGCGUAAAGGGUGCGUAGGCGGCUAUUUAAGUAAGAUGUUAAAUCCCUGGGCUUAACCCAGGAAUCGCAUUUUAAACUGGAUAGCUAGAGUGUGACAGAGGAAAGUGGAAUUCCUAGUGUAGAGGUGAAAUUCGCAGAUAUUAGGAGGAACACCGGAGGCGAAGGCGGCUUUCUGGGUCACAACUGACGCUGAGGCACGAAAGCGUGGGGAGCAAACAGG